GGCCGCUUGGCGUAGUGGUAUCGCGCUUGCUUUGGGUUGGUUCGGAUCCCGAACUUGGUCAAUAUGCAAGAGGUCACGAGUUCGAUCCUCGUAGCGGCCC
rnacentral:tRNA from 1 species